rnacentral:rRNA from 1 species
GUGGGGAAUUUUGGACAAUGGGCGCAAGCCUGAUCCAGCCAUGCCGCGUGAGUGAAGAAGGCCUUCGGGUUGUAAAGCUCUUUCGGCCGGGAAGAAAUCGGCGACUCUAACAUAGUCGCUGGAUGACGGUACCGGACUGAGAAGCACCGGCUAACUACGUGCCAGCAGCCGCGGUAAUACGUAGGGUGCGAGCGUUAAUCGGAAUUACUGGGCGUAAAGCGUGCGCAGGCGGUUUUGUAAGACAGAUGUGAAAUCCCCGGGCUUAACCUGGGAACUGCGUUUGUGACUGCAAGGCUAGAGUACGGCAGAGGGGGGUGGAAUUCCUGGUGUAGCAGUGAAAUGCGUAGAUAUCAGGAGGAACACCGAUGGCGAAGGCAGCCCCCUGGGCCUGUACUGACGCUCAUGCACGAAAGCGUGGGGAGCAAACAGGAUUAGAUACCCUGGUAGUCC